AUGUCGAGGUUCUGGAGACCUGGGUCGGAGAAGCCGAGCGCCUCGCUCGUCGACGACGAGGAGGGCGGCGUACUCUUCCUCCCGACCAACACCAGCGCUUCCUCCUCCUCCUCCGGGUUUGGGUACGCGUCCUUGGAGAGGCUGAGGCAGCGGCUGCCGGUGUACAAGUACCGCAAGGCCAUCCUCUACCUGGUGGAGCGGCAUGCCACGACCAUCAUCGUCGGCGAGACCGGUAGCGGCAAGUCGACCCAGAUCCCGCAGUAUCUCAAGGAGGCUGGUUGGGCUGAGGGCGGUCGACUUAUAGGUUGCACCCAGCCAAGAAGAUUGGCUGUGCAGACGGUUGCGUCAAGAGUAGCUGAAGAAGUUGGUGUGAAACUUGGAGAAGAAGUGGGAUAUACAAUAAGAUUUGAGGAUGAAACAAACCCGGGCAUGACUAUGAUCAAAUUUCUCACAGAUGGGGUACUGAUUAGAGAAAUGAUGGAAGAUCCUCUUCUGAGCAAAUAUAGUGUCAUUAUGAUAGAUGAAGCUCAUGAAAGAUCCAUUUCAACCGACAUAUUGCUGGGACUCCUGAAAAAGAUUCAACGCCGUCGGCCAGAGUUGCGCCUAAUCAUUUCCUCUGCAACAAUUGAAGCAAGAUCAAUGUCAACCUUUUUCAGCAAUAGGCGGAAGAAUUCAUUGCUCAAGCCUGCUGAUGGUUUGCCAAAUCCAGAACCUGCUAUACUUUCUGUUGAAGGUAGAGGAUACACAGUAGAAACUCAUUAUCUGGAAGAGCCUGUCUCAGACUACUUACAGGCCGCUGUGAAUACUGUUCUUAUUAUUCACGAAAAGGAACCACCAGGGGAUAUUUUGGUGUUUUUAACUGGCCAGGAUGACAUAGAUGCUGCUCUUAAGUUGCUAAAUGAUGAAAUUCAACAUCUGGGAAAACACUAUUUCGAUUUGGUGAUUUUGCCCUUGUACUCUGGCCUUCCACGGGGAGACCAAGAUCUCAUCUUUGCUCCUACUUCGAAAGGGAAAAGAAAAGUUGUGAUAUCAACAAACAUUGCCGAGACAUCAUUGACUCUGGAGGGCGUGGUGUAUGUUGUUGAUAGUGGAUUUUCCAAGCAGAAGUGUUAUAACCCGAUUUCUGACCUGGAGAGUCUAGUUGUCGCACCAAUAUCGAAAGCUUCUGCAAGGCAACGAGCAGGCAGAGCUGGAAGGGUACGACCUGGGAAAUGCUUUAGGCUUUACACAGAGGAAUAUUACCUAAAUGAAAUGCAGUCAGAUGGCAUUCCAGAAAUGCAAAGGUCUAACCUUGUUUCCUGCAUAAUACAGUUGAAAGCGCUAGGCAUAGACAACAUCUUGGGGUUUGAUUGGCCAGCUUCUCCAUCACCAGAGGCAAUGAUCCGGGCUCUCGAAAUUCUAUUUUCACUAGGAAUUCUUGAUGAAGAUGCCAAACUAACAGUUCCCAUUGGUUUCCAAGUUGCUGAGAUGCCUCUGGACCCCAUGAUCUCAAAAAUGAUCUUGUCAGCAAAUGAUUUUGGAUGCUCUGAUGAGAUAUUGACGAUAGCAGCAUUUCUAUCUGUUCAGUCUGUGUGGGUUUCUAUGCGGGGAGUGAAGAAGGAAUUUGAUGAGGCCAAACUUCGGUUUGCUGCUGCUGAGGGUGAUCAUGUAACAUUCCUGAAUAUCUACAAAGGAUUUCACCAGUCUGGAAAAUCUAGUCAGUGGUGUUACAAGAACUUUUUGAAUCACCAAGCACUGAAGAAGGUCAUUGAAAUCAGGGCACAGCUUGUCAGGGUUAUGAAGAGGUUUGGCAUACAGCUGAAAUCCUGCGACAGAGAUAUGCAGGCAGUUAGAAAGGCCAUUAUUGCUGGUUCGUUUGCUAAUUCAUGUCAUCUGGAGGAAUAUGGCCAGAAUGGAAUGUAUAAAACAAUUAGGACGUCACAAGAAGUUUACAUUCAUCCAUCUUCCGUACUCUUCAGGGUUAAUCCGAAGUGGGUCGUCUACCAGUCUCUUGUUUCAACUGACAAGCACUAUAUGCGUAAUGUUAUUGCCAUUGAACCAUCAUGGCUUACUGAAGCUGCACCACAUUUCUACCAGUUCCGAACACCCAAUCCAGCUCCGCACUAA
rnacentral:rRNA from 1 species